CUCUGAUCGGAGGGAGGUCGCAGCUCCGGUGAGGUCUCAGUCUCAACGGAAUCUCCAAGGAUACGGACGAGAAUUUGGAUCUCUUCUCUAGGAAUCGCCGGAGUCUCUCCGUUGCUUCGUCCGACGAAUCCGACGUUUCAGUGAAAUUGGGGAGACUUUCAGUUGGAUCAGCGAAACCCUACA